UGGGGAAUUUUGGACAAUGGGGGAAACCCUGAUCCAGCCAUCCCGCGUGUGCGAUGAAGGCCUUCGGGUUGUAAAGCACUUUUGGCAGGAAAGAAACGUCAUGGGUUAAUACCCCGUGAAACUGACGGUACCUGCAGAAUAAGCACCGGCUAACUACGUGCCAGCAGCCGCGGUAAUACGUAGGGUGCAAGUGUUAAUCGGAAUUACUGGGCGUAAAGCGUGCGCAGGCGGUUCGGAAAGAAAGAUGUGAAAUCCCAGAGCUCAACUUUGGAACUGCAUUUUUAACUACCGGGCUAGAGUGUGUCAGAGGGAGGUGGAAUUCCGCGUGUAGCAGUGAAAUGCGUAGAUAUGCGGAGGAACACCGAUGGCGAAGGCAGCCUCCUGGGAUAACACUGACGCUCAUGCACGAAAGCGUGGGGAGCAAACAGG
rnacentral:rRNA from 1 species